GCCUAACACAUGCAAGUCGAACGCUCUGAUUUUCGCAAGAAGUAUCAGGGAGUGGCGAACGGCUGAGUAACACGUAAGUAACCUAUCCUUAAGUGGGGGAUAACCUGUCGAAAGGCAGGCUAAUACCGCAUGUGCUGGUAGACAUUGGUUUAUCAGGAAAGGUUUUUCGCUUGAGGAGGGGCUUGCGUCUGAUUAGCUAGUUGGAAGGGUAAUGGCCUACCAAGGCGAUGAUCAGUAGCUGGUCUGAGAGGACAACCAGCCAGACGGGGACUGAGAUACGGCCCUGACUCCUACGGGAGGCAGCAGCAAGGAAUUUUGCGCAAUGGGCGAAAGCCUGACGCAGCGACACCGCGUGGGGGAUGACGGCCUUCGGGUUGUAAACCCCUUUUAUAGAGGAAGAAGACUGACGGUACUCUAUGAAUAAGUCUUGGCUAACUACGUGCCAGCAGCCGCGGUAAUACAAGGGCGAAUUUGUUUAACCNUCAGNCNNGNCCUUNGU
rnacentral:rRNA from 1 species